UUACUUCAACAACAAUACCUACAUCUUCAGAAACAACUGCACCUGUAACAACAUCAAUAACUACAGCAUCCUCAACUACUGAAAUUCCCACCACCACAGUUGUGAGUACAGAAACCACAACUAUUUCUUCCACAACAAUGCCUACAACUUCAGAAAGUACAACAGCAGAAACCACAACUACAGCUUCAUCAACCACAUCUACAACAACAAACAAUCCAGCAACAUCAAUAGCUGUAACUUCAGAAUCCACAACUCUUACUUCAACAACGAUACCUACAUCUUCAGAAACAACUGCACCUGUAACAAUAUCAACAACUAAUGGAUUGUCAAUUAGUGAAAUUCCAACAACCACAGUUUACAACAGCAGAAACCACAACUACAGCUUCAUCAACCACAUCUACAACAACAAACAAUCCAGCAACAUCAACAGCUGUAACUUCAGAAUCCACAACUCUUACUUCAACAACGAUACCUACAUCUUCAGAAACAACUGCACCUGUAACAAUAUCAACAACUAAUGGAUUGUCAAUUAGUGAAAUUCCAACAACCACAGUUGUGAGUACAGAGACCACAACUACUACUUCAACAACACUGCCUACAACUACAGCUUUGUCACCUAAAUCUACAACAACAAAUGAUCCAACAACAUCAAUAGCAGUAACUUCAGAAUCGACAACUCUUACUUCAACAAUGCCUACAUCUUCAGAAACAACUGCACCUGUAACAACAUCAGUAAUUACAGCAUCCUCAACUACUGAAAUUCCCACCAACACAGUUGUGAGGACCGAAACCACACGCAUUACUUCAACAACACUGCCUACAACUUCAGAAAGUACAACAGCAGAGACCGCAACUACAGCUUCAUCAACCACAUCUACAACAACAAAUGAUCCAACGACAUCAGCAGCUGUAACUUCAGAAUCCACAACUCUUACAUCAACAAUGCCUACAUCUUCAGAAACAACCGCACCUGUAACAACAUCAGUAACUACAGCAUCCUCAACUACUGAAAUUCCCACCACCACAGUUGUGAGGACUGAAACCACAACUAUUACUUCAACAACACUGCCUACAACUUCAGAAAGAACAACAGCAGAGACCACAACUGCAGCUUCAUCAACCACAUCUACAAUAACAAACAAUCCAGCAACAUCAACAGCUGUAACUUCAGAAUCCACAGCUCUUACUUCAACAACUAUGCUUACAUCUUCAGAUACAACUGCACCUGUAAGAAUAACAGCAACUAAAGGAUUGUCAACUAGUGAAAUUCCAACAACCACAGUUGUGAGUACAGAGACCACAACUACUACUUCAGAAACACUGCCUACAACUUCAGAAAGUACAACAGCAGAAACCACAACUACAGCUUCAUCAACGAUACCUACAUCUUCAGAAACAACUGCACCUGUAACAACAUCAGCAACUAAAGGAUUGUCAACUAGCGAAAUUCCAA
ensembl:lncRNA